GGAGGUAGUGACAAUAAAUCACAAUGCGGGACUAUACGUCUUGCAAUUGGAUUGAGAACAAUGUACAACUCUUAUCGAUAAGCCAUUGGAGGGCAAGUCUGGUGCCAGCAGCCGCGGUAAUUCCAGCUCCAAUAGCGUAUAUUAACGUUGUUGCAGUUAAAAAGCUCGUAGUUGAAGUGUGGGUGAUCGCUGUUGUGAGACUUCGGUCUCUCGACAGUAAGUCACCCCCUUCCAGUAUCCAGUAGUGGGUAUUCACUUACUUACUAUUGUGUGUUGGUCCUUUACUGUGAGAAAAUUAGAGUGUUCAAAGCAGGCGUUUGCUUGAAUAGAUUAGCAUGGAAUAAUAAUUGAAGGCUUUCGUGUUCGAUUUGAUUGGUUUGUUCAUGGAAGCAAGGUUAAAAGGAACAGUUGGGGGUAUUCAUAUUCACUAGUUAGAGGUGAAAUUCUCGGAUUUAUGGAAGAUGAACAAGUGCGAAAGCA
rnacentral:rRNA from 1 species